UACAGAGGUGGCAAGCGUUGUUCGGAAUUACUGGGCGUAAAGGGCGCGUAGGCGGCCUUCUAAGUCCGACGUGAAAUCCCCCGGCUUAACCUGGGAACUGCGUCUGAUACUGGGAGGCUUGAGUAUGGGAGAGGGAUGUAGAAUUCCAGGUGUAGCGGUGAAAUGCGUAGAUAUCUGGAGGAAUACCGGUGGCGAAGGCGGCAUCCUGGACCGACAUUGACGCUGAGGAGCGAAAGCUAGGGGAGCAAACGGG
rnacentral:rRNA from 1 species